rnacentral:misc_RNA from 1 species
GUUUCAAUCAAAUAGCCACAAAUCUACAGGCAGCUGACUACUGUCCGCUGUUACACCUCGAAAAUGAACCUCGAGGACACAGGAUCAAAGGACUACGACUGGUGCUAAAAGACGAGCCAGCCUUGGGCAACGUACGAAAGAAAAUGAUGAUAGAAGAAAGAUCAUCCCACGGAUUCGUGAGAUCGUCCGAAAGCUGAAGGAUCGUUAAGGUACUGCAACCAGAGACUGGGACCACACCCGUGGAGAUCGCAGCGGCAGAAUGUCAGGAAACGAAUAAAAUAUGCUGUUAACAAGUCACAAGAAAAGAAGAGCAAGUUUCUGAAACAUCGAUAGCUCAGAUCAAAAUCAAUUUCUUAAAAAUUGUGGUUGAAGAAUCUUCGACGACAGCAGCGUUUAGAGUGCUAAAACGCGAAUUAUGUGGAUAAAUUAUAUAU